ACUGUGGUUGUUGUGUUUGAACUUUUGGACCUGGUAUGACCCCCCAGAUGUAUCGCCCAUAUGUGUAUCUGAUGAAUCCGGAAUGUCCUGGGCAUAUGCCUUAUAAAUGUCCAGAACAAGCAAUUUUUAAAAUAAAGACUUGAAUAUUAAACAUCUAAAAUAUGUCUACAAGGGCAAUUAUCGGUGUGCUUUGCAGCUCAUGUCAAGAAUCCAACGACAAAAGCCUGGAGGAUGUUUUGCGUGAGGCUCCCGAAUGUUUUAAGGGCUUUUUGUGUACAAGCGACGGGCAUAUGUCUUACAUCUUUAGCCCGGAGGAAUCUACGGUUAAGAUAUUCACAGACAGCGUGUCCCAACCCUUUUAUCGGGCAGAACCCGAGAGUUUUUCUCCAGCGCUAAGGAUGAGAGAAUGGCUUAAAAUAAGACUAGCGCUGUGUCAAAUGGAGCGCGCCCUAAGUGUUUCAAGGCUGCCCGGAUAUGCGUUGGAAGAACAGGUCUGUGGCCGAAGUGAUAUAAUGGCCAUAAGAAUCGCGUCAAUGGCGUAUACCCCGGACUCCAGAGUGACAAUUUUAGCAUGUGAACAAUUUGAUAGUGCAAAUGCUUCGAAAACGGUCAGAUCAUAUGUAUCUUCCAAAGCAUGCAAGGAUGUAAAUUUUUUCCAAAUAAUGUUCAGUUUUAAAUGGCGCGAUUACCAUAUUUUCAGAACACUGAUGAAUAAGCUGGACAGUCUUUUCGAAAAUCGGGAACAAUUACGGCGAUGGCCUCGGUUAUCGUUGAGACAUUCCCAAGACCCACAAGGCAGAAGGCGGAUCUAUCCCUGGAGUGAAAACGGCCAGAGCUUCGAUGGAGCGGGCAAAAGACUUUGCGACGGGGAGUUGGAAACGGAUAACGGUCAGGGCUAAACGGACCCUAUAUUUGUAAGAAAUAGUAAAACAUGUUGAAUUAUAAAGUGUGUUAAAAUGUAUGUGUUAAAUAUUUUGGAAUUCAAUAAAAGGAGUUUUAAAAAACUGUAUCUCACCCGUAACUAUGCGAAACGGUGUUUCACAUCUUCAGCCAACUCGGUCGCGAAGAAAAAGACAUUGAAAAUCAGGGUGCAUGCAUGAGUGUGCGUGUGAAGGAGCAGCAGGAGUGUGUGUGUGUGCGUUUCAAAAAACAAAGGGUUUGUUUGUGUGGGUUCAACAUGGGGUCCCAUCUGUAGAGAAUCGUUUGAAAUCCCAAAGUUUGAACUAUCCAGCAUAUGGCCUGUCAAGGUAUCGGCCGACCGCCCGGGGUUAAACCAGGAUAUCUAAUCAACGCCCCCCCAGGACCCCCCAAACAAAACGCAUGACAGAACGGUUCUUUGAAUUCACAGCCUUUUGGUCUAAAGCAAACAUACAGUUGGUUGCAUACAGGCUAUCUCUCGAAACUCAUUCCGUACUUUAACAAGUUAGGGACAGAACGUCUAUUUUUAACAAGUUUAGCACGGCUUUAGCGCAAACCCAAAGGCCCGAAUAUUUAACUGCCAGGACAGAUAGCAUAGGCUGUAAAGCCCUCCUAAUGGAUAUUUCUGGAGGUGAGUAAAUGAGAAAUAUAGUUUAAGAUUUGUUUGAAUAUUAUUGUAAUAACAAACCCCCGAGUUAUUUGGGUAUUUCAGACCAAAGGCCAAUAUGUGUUAAAAAGUGUAUAUAUAUCGUAUAACGGUUAAUAUUGUCUAACGGUGGCUAGAGUCCCAAACCUUUACGCAGCUUUUACACGGUUUACCUGAUCUGGAACAACAUGAGGGGGAUACACACUCUCAAAAAUCAGGCAGUCAGUCGCCAUCAGACUUUUUUCGUUUCGACAUACCGCCAAGAAUGAUAAAGGAUUCGUUAUGGACAGCGGACACGAGUGACAUGGAUGCAAUUCUACCGUUCUGUACGCGCGUUUUUUCAAACUCACCGGGAACGUCCACCCCCUCACGACAUAUUCCAGACCCCAACAGGCAACGCACAACUGUGGCCCAAGUACAUUGCUCAGAUUCAACCCCACCCGAAAAGUACGGCUGGGCCGGGAACUUGAGGCUUCGCGAGCAGGCGCUCCAAGGACAUGACUGCCCGGAGACAGACCCUGCAGAAUCGGGAACGCUAGCUGAAAAAAGCCCAGAGCCCUCGGUAUCAGCAAUUCGUCAGAACAAGCGCCAAAAAAGCCUAGACUCAGCCCCGGCGAAAAACGGCACAGACGGACACAUACACCUAGAGCUGGGGGAUUCCGGCGCCCCGAACAUUCCCGAUGAAACAACCGAUAGACCUGUUUUUAAUGACAUUUCAGAUGUUGACGACCAGCUUUUCUGUGAUGCGGCCAACCUUAUCGACCCCGUCAAUUCUACGGCAUCAGUACCUGCAGUAGAACAAGAAAGGUUUUUCACAUUAUUUUCCAGGGCUUUGAAAUCAAGGAAUGUUUUGCUAUACAAACGAGUGGGUGAUUUAAUUGAGAGACAGUACAGAGACGAUAUGUUAUUCUGGCAUAGAACAAUUCCCCGCAUGUUAAACAGCAAACCCAUUAAAA